GGGUUGGGGGAAGGUUAUUUGCAUCUCAACAAAGCUCUGCAGUUAGGAAAUACACAGUCCCAGCCAGACACCAAGCCCCCAGCGCUGCUCUAAGCUUUUCAGACUGGGUCAUCACUGCAGUGACUUGAUUCAGGAUGAAAGUUAGGCUGCUUUUAGUUUUCUCACCAGGGAGAAAUCACGGGCACGGGAUGAGAGGGGGAGAGUGGAGUUGUUUUCUUGAUGAAAUUUAAAAGGUGGGGCUAGAGGUAAAUGAAAAUAUUUAUAGCUUCUCAGGAUCAGGAGGGAAAAUCCCUCCUUCUCAAUUUAGAAGAGACCAUCCAUAAAUUAGCACAUUCUGCAGAAUCAAAAAGCCGAAGCUGUCGGUUAUAUUCUGAUCUCAUUAAGAGCUCUGGAUUCUGUAGCAAAUGUUAAAAUAAUACCGACAUGUAAAUUAGAUCUCACAGAGAAAUGGACAGACCCAGUCAGCAGAGGGGUUUUUUUCUCCCCCCCCCCUUAUAAAUAUCUUCAAUCCUUCCACUCUUUUGGGUACUGACUGGGCGCGAAGUGGAUUUGCAUAUUAUUACAAAGCGAAAAGUGUGAAUACAGCCAGCCAGCCAUCCUGUUAAAAAUCUGGGUUGAAAACCACACGAUUUGCUGAACAACAAAUUCACAUUGGAGAGGUAUCACCAACUGCUGCCUAAAAACAUCCCCAGGAUGCCGGGGUGUUGGAAACCAAGCCAAGCCCAGCUUCGGAAACACAAUGAUUCCACUGGGUAAACAAAUUUGCAUCUCUUUCAGUGGGUUACAUUUGGUUAAAUUUAGAAGAGUCCCCGGUGAAGGGGUUGGGCACGGGACUAGGGCUCACAGACCCAGCAGAGAGAUAGCCCAGGUCCACCGCUUUCAGUAUGCUGGGAACUGGAUCUAUUUCGGAAAUUUAGAACCCUCCAUUGAAAAGUUCAGCAACUCGGACUGAGAGGCAGUUAUUCCAUUUCGAACACUAUACUGACUAUAAAAACAGGAUUGAUGGUAACAAAAGAUCCUUUUAUCUUUAGCUUUAUCUUUGAGUUUCAAUGAUUUUUGUUUGCAAGUUGCCUUUUUGUUUUUAAAGUACAGAGAAGCGGGAACUCCCCCAUCAUCGUCACCCCUCCAUCCGGCUCCUGCUUUUACUUGUUCUCCCCCUAAUUUUGUUCUUACAUGAUUCUCUGACUUGCCUAGGGCCACAGUCCACUGUCACAGGGUGGGGGGAGCAUGCACCGAACAGACAGUGCCCCGCCUCUGAGCCCUGGCAGGAAGCCACGGCCCUCUGUGCUGACUCAGCAGUCGGGCUCCUGGCGGGGGCACAUGUAACAUUCCUGGAGAAAAGCUCUCCCCGUCGUAAACACUCAUGAAAACAACUCAUCGCUGAGCAGAGAACCGGAGUCUGCUGCUCAUACUUAACGAGAUCCACAGUUAAGCUUGCCUUUUGGUACGAUGAUAGUUUUCAAAAUCCGUGCCAGAGAGAUCAGCAUAGGUCAAUAUUAAAAAAUAAUUGUGCUCUGUUAACAGCUCACCCAUGAGGUUUGUUCGAGGCUCUUCCCCCCUUUGCCUUUCUCUCUUUCUUUCUCCGUUUUUAGCUAAACACGAAUUGCUCAUCCAUUCCAGUUCUGAACUGGGUCAGAGAUUUGGACCGCUUUACGUCAGAAGGAACGGGGAGAGAGCCAGAGCCCUGACAAAGGGCAGAGGAAAAUUCCUGACGCUACUCUGCACAAAGGUAUUUAAGUUAUAACUUCAUUUCAGUCACAGCAGCUACUGACAAAAAGCCAUAGCUUAAGGAGCAACAGUUCCCUGGACGCACAUCAUUCAGUAUUAUGUUCAGGCCAACAGUCAUGGCUGCCAGUGUUACUUUUGCAUCGAAAUGAUGACUAAUGCAGAAUUGUUCCAGGAUUUUACAAUGCGCAAAAUCUCAAAAUUUCGUGACUUCCAAGUGUACUUGCACCUGCAGCGUCUGUAGCGUUUACAGAUGCGCAGUUCGGGAAAGAAACAGAAGUAUUAAAGUACAGUACCAGACCAGUGCAUACACUGUCCUUGGCAGUGAGACUUUCCCAUGUGUGUAUAAAAAGAACUCUGGAGACCACAUCGUAAAGGGUCACUGAAAUGAUGAACAGUGAAAACUGAGCCAAUUGGAAACACCUCUAAUACUGACGUCCUUACAGGGAACUCAAGUUGGGGGCUCCUAGGAGCCAAAGCACAGCCAGCCAGUGCAGCCAAAAUGCCUCGUCGGGCCAUUCGCUGACAUGCACAGUGUCCAGGUCUUCCUGGAGUUGUACCUAGGCCAAACUUCCCCUGUUCCUGUUACCUGUGGCAGCUUUUGGAACACUACCACAGCCAUCCGCAGGGCCUCGCUGAGCACCUAGCAUGCGCAGAGCACUACGCGACAGCCACCAUUUCACUAAAGCUUAUUGUGACUCUCACGUCCCUGUUCUUUGCGGGUACCGCUGAUUCGACUUUUAAAUUCAGAUUCAACUAACUCUGAGCACCCACCUGAUCUAGUAAGUACAGUGUUUGUUAAUCACUUUAUUUUGUGUGAAUUUUUUAAUCACCAUGCGGGCAGCUUUGUACGCAGAAACACUAUUUGGGCUUACCUGGUUUUUAAAAAUGGAUAUUUUAUUAAUUUAUUUAAAAAACAAGGGGUGCCUGGGUGGCUCAGUAAGUUAAAUGACCAACUUUGGCUCAGGUCAUGAUCUUGUGGUUUGUGAGUUCGAGCCCUGCAUCGGGCUCUGUGCUGACAGCUCAGAGCCUGGAGCCUGCUCUGGAUUCUGUGUCUCCCUCUCUCUCUGCCCCUUCCCACUCAG